rfam:Rhizobium etli CNPAF512 RHECNPAF_contig156, whole genome shotgun sequence.
ACAUUGCUGUUUGGUGGUGGGCUCGCUGAGGCGGCCUCGACCAAUCGUGUCCAAAGACGACGACGAGUGAGCCGCCCGAAACUUCGAGGCGGCUUUUUU